rnacentral:rRNA from 1 species
AGCGAAGGAGGCAAGCGUUAUCCGGAAUUACUGGGCGUAAAGGGCGUCUAGGCGGAUGAGAAAGCGCGAUGUGAAAGCCCCCGGCUCAACUGGGGAGGGUCAUUCGAUACUGAUCGACUCGAAGGCAGGAGAGGGUAGUGGAAUUCCCGGUGUAGUGGUGAAAUGCGUAGAUAUCGGGAGGAACACCAGUGGCGAAGGCGACUACCUGGCCUGUUCUUGACGCUGAGGCGCGAAAGCUAGGGGAGCAAACGGG